rnacentral:misc_RNA from 1 species
UUAAGUUCAGCGGGUAGUCCUACCCGAUUUGAGGUCAGAACGUCGGACAGACAAGCCGUCCGGCUGUUGUCCCAAGCAGGACCGUUGGAAGCAGGAGUCCACCACCAGCAUCUCGACGGGUGACUUAUCACGCCAAGUGAGGGCCAGGGUCUCUCUCACUAAUGCAUUUCGGACGAGCCGGGCGUUGCCACCCGGCAGCA